GGUCCACACCAGAUCAUCCUGAAUGUGCUCCAUCUCACCUGAUCUCGGAAGCUGAGCAGGAUUGGGCUUGGUUAGUACUUGGAUGAGAGACCACCUGGGACUACCAGGUGCCUGUACUC
ensembl:rRNA 5S_rRNA 5S ribosomal RNA